rnacentral:ncRNA from 1 species
UUGGUUGAUCCUGAGAGUAGUCAUCUGCUUGUCCCAGAGAUCAACCCAUGGAUUUCUAAGUACAUAUCGCGAAUGGUUUAUUAAAUCAGCUAUGGUUCGUCAGAUUAUUUAUACUGCAUAGAUAACUGUAGUAAUUCUACAGCUUAUACAUGCAAUAUUGACCUGAUCUGCAAGGGAAAGGGGUAUAUUUAUUAGAACAGAACCAACCAAGGGGGGCAGUUUCAGCUGUCUCUUUUGAAUUGUGUGAUGACUUCGGAUAAAUUUAAUGAACACAGCUGGACUCGAGUCAGCGACGGAUCUUUUGAAUGUCUGCCCAACCAAUUUGUUGGUAGGUGAUUAGCCUACCAUGAUAAUAAGAACAAUCAGGAUUCGAUUCUGGACAGAGAGUUUGAGAAAUGGCUACCACAUCCAAAGACGGUAGUAGACCUAAAAAUUACCCACUACUAGCACGGGGAGAUGGUGACGAAACAUAUGAACAUGAGACUUAACUAAAGCUCCUUAAUUCGAAUGAGUAAAAUUUAGAUUAUGUACGGCUGAUUAACAGUCAUU